AAAAGUAAACUACACUUCAGGUUAUAUACAACAUCACCAACACAGUGUACUGUAACUGUCACCCCACGUCUCCAGCUGGUCAACAAAACUACUGCUGGAUAAACUCAUCUGCCCGCAGAGUUUUUAAAUAGCUAAUUAUACUUAACUAAGUACGUAUGAUCACUUUAAAAUGGUCCAUAAAUUUUAGCCAUGUACCAAAUAAAAUAUAAAAGAUAUCUCACUUGUUUUAUAGCUGCUGCUGCUAUUCCCAAAAACAGUUGGACAAAUGUGUCCUGGUUUGGUGAUUACACACACUUACAAAAGAAUUAGCGAUGAUACUCUGAUGAUAAUUGUCUUUUUGAAAACAUAUUAUUUCAUCAUUCAAAAAUCAACAAGCAGUUCCCAUUUUAGACUAGUACAGUGUAUGAAUCCUUAAACUUUCUGACAUUAAAGUUAUUUAAAUAUCUUCUUUGGUGAUAACAUCAUGAUUUUUUUAUGUACUUUACUAUAUUUUUUUGAUACAUGGGUAGAUGUUCCACUAACUCUGUAUACUGGUCAAUAAGGUAAAGAAAAAAAAGAAAAAAGGUAAAUAAAUAUAUUUAAGGUAAAUAAAGGCCACCUGAUCUUGAUGACUGCGUAACGAUUUGUGCACGUGACAUCAACGUCGCUACGUUUACGCUCACGUUAGCUUUUGCGGGGGAAAUUUGAUUCAAGUGUGAAAAACUCAAAAACGAGGUUUUAAAUGCUAAAAAAAAACCAAACUAUUGUGUAUUCAGCAAAUUCAGAGAUAAUUAACACUGAAUUUCUACCAAUGUCGGAGGACAAAGAGAAGACGAACAAGUGGAUGUGUUUGGUGGGCCACCUGAAAUCCAUUAUCCAGUUCCCAGGCAGCCAGUGGUUACUGACAGAGUCUGGACAGCAGGGGAGGAUAGAGGAUUCCUCCAGGGAGCUGGGACACUUACAGCUGGACUGCUGAGGUGUGGAGCUUGCCUCGGGGUAAGCCUCAUGUAUACUUUGCAGGCAGUAGUGGAACAGCAGCAUGGAGCUCGGCGACAGACUGGCGACCUGGCUUGGGUGUACCCCCACGUCUCAUCCAAAGCAUGCUGGGACAGGCUGUGCAACAGGAUAAGCAGAUGAUAAAAUAUCCCAGUCUGACACCUACACGAUGAGUCUUCUGGGAGUC